UCCCCAUCGUCUAGAGGCCUAGGACACCGCCCUUUCACGGCGGUAACAGGGGUUCGAAUCCCCUUGGGGACGCCA
rnacentral:tRNA from 1 species